rnacentral:rRNA from 1 species
UACGGAGGAUGCGAGCGUUAUCCGGAUUUAUUGGGUUUAAAGGGUGCGUAGGCGGGCUUUUAAGUCAGCGGUAAAAAUUCGGGGCUCAACCCCGUCUGGCCGUUGAAACUGGGGGCCUUGAGUGGGCGAGAAGAAGGCGGAAUGCGUGGUGUAGCGGUGAAAUGCAUAGAUAUCACGCAGAACCCCGAUUGCGAAGGCAGCCUUCCGGCGCCCUACUGACGCUGAGGCACGAAAGUGCGGGGAUCGAACAGG